rnacentral:tRNA from 1 species
GGGAAGGUGGCUCAGUGGUAGAGCGCUUGCCUUGCAUGCAUGAGGCCCUGGGUUUGAUUGAUUUCUCA